rnacentral:rRNA from 1 species
AGAGUUUGAUCAUGGCUCAGGACGAACGCUAGCGGCGUGCCUAAUGUAUGCAAGUCGAGCGAGGGAGGGACUUCGGUCCCUUUCCGGGCGGCAAACGGUUGAGUAACACGUAGGCAACCUGCCCCAGAGACGGGGGAUAGCCCGCCGAAAGGCGGAUUAAUACCGGAUGUGGCGAGGGGAUGCAUAUCCCUUCUGCUAAAGGGAGCAAUCCGCUCUGGGAUGGGCCUGCGGCCUAUCAGCUAGUUGGUGAGGUGACGGCUCACCAAGGCGACGACGGGUAGCUGGUCUGAGAGGAUGGUCAGCCAGACAGGGACUGAGACACGGCCCUGACUCCUUUGGGGGGCAGCAAUGAGGGAUAUUGCACAAUGGGGGAAACCCUGAUGCAGCGACGCCGCGUGGGUGACGAAGUCCUUCGGGAUGUAAAGCCCUUUUCUCGGGGAAGAGAAUGGACGGUACCCGAGGAAUAAGCCCCGGCUAACUACGUGCCAGCAGCCGCGGUAAUACGUAGGGGGCAAGCGUUGUCCGGAAUUACUGGGCGUAAAGCGCGCGUAGGCGGGACAGGAAGUCGGGCGUGAAAGCCUCCGGCUCAACCGGAGAGAGCCGUCCGAUACUCCUGUUCUUGAGGGUCGAAGAGGAGAGUGGAAUUCCCGGUGUAGCGGUGAAAUGCGUAGAGAUCGGGAGGAACACCCAUGGCGAAGGCAGCUCUCUGGUCGGCCACUGACGCUGAGGUGCGAAAGCGUGGGGAGCGAACGGGAUUAGAUACCCUAGUAGUCC